rnacentral:lncRNA from 1 species
GCUCCUAAGCCAGACUCCGAGAUGCUUGACGUCCCUCUGCCACACCAUCACGAGGGUCUCAGGCUGUGUGAAGACUCCAUGACGAGACACCCAGGGAGGGAUUUAUAGGAGUAUCAUCAAUACGGAAAGAUCCAACACGCGACGGCAUCCGUGAAAAUGCCGCCGGUUUGUCCACGGCAUUUCCGUUGCACAGCGGCAUAGCGGCGUGUCGGGGAAGUCGGGCAACGGCUAAGACGCGAAUCUUCAGUUGGGGGAGCGACAACCGCGGCGAUGAUGCUCCGAUAACCAUGAUGACGUCAGAGAAAGACAGGCGUGCCAACCUAUGAAAGACAAAGUCGUCUGUAUUGAUGUUCUUCGACUCUCUGAAGCGGCAUUCGGGUGAGCGCCACCAAGACCCUCUCCGCUCCCACCUCAACCGCCGACCGGCAUUGCUAGAGCGAUUUUUCUUGCGCCAUGGCGGAGACGAGCGUGCCCGCCUCAGGGUUGGGUCUGCGCCCCCUCUUCUCCUCCUCCCCCCCUCCCCCCCUUCUCCCCAGCUUCCCCUCUUUCCCGCCCCGGUCGACUGCGAGGGGGAAGCCACGCCGCUGGACUUGGGAGUGACGCGUGGGAGUCUGCAGCAUCCAACGGGAUAAGAUGGAGUCGCUAGUUAUCAUCUGCGUCGGAUGCUGGCGAGAUUACCCUCUCAGUUCAUAAAGGAUUUAUGACGGAACUGAUCUUCACCAUACAUUGGAAAUAUUGGAAAUAUGGAAAAAAAAGCUGCGCUAUUUGACAGAAUAUACCUGUGUCAGAAAAUACCUAUACUGUAUAUAUGAAAACAAUAAAGAUGAAUAUUUGAACAAGUGAAAAGCGUUUUAUAUUUUCCCUUUCUU